rnacentral:rRNA from 1 species
GGUGAACGCUGGCGGCGUGCUUAAGACAUGCAAGUCGAACGCAGUCUUCGGACUGAGUGGCGCACGGGUGAGUAACACGUAACUGACCUACCCCCAAGUCGCGGAUAACUGGCCGAAAGGUCAGCUAAUACGUGAUGUGAUGUCCCCUUUCUGGGGGGCCAUUAAAGGUUUACUGCUUGGGGAUGGGGUUGCGUUCCAUCAGCUAGUUGGCGGGGUAAAGGCCCACCAAGGCAACGACGGAUAGCCGGCCUGAGAGGGUGGCCGGCCACAGGGGCGCUGAGACACGGGUCCCACUCCUACGGGAGGCAGCAGUUAGGAAUCUUCCACAAUGGGCGAAAGCCUGAUGGAGCGACGCCGCGUGAGGGAUGAAGGUUCUCGGAUCGUAAACCUCUGAAUCAGGGACGAAAGACGCGUAAGCGGGAUGACGGUACCUGAGUAAUAGCACCGGCCAACUCCGUGCCAGCAGCCGCAGUAA